GAUGAACGCUGGCGGCGUGCCUAAUACAUGCAAGUCGAGCGAACGGACGAGAAGCUUGCUUCUCUGAUGUUAGCGGCGGACGGGUGAGUAACACGUGGAUAACCUACCUAUAAGACUGGGAUAACUUCGGGAAACCGGAGCUAAUACCGGAUAAUAUUUUGAACCGCAUGGUUCAAAAGUGAAAGACGGUCUUGCUGUCACUUAUAGAUGGAUCCGCGCUGCAUUAGCUAGUUGGUAAGGUAACGGCUUACCAAGGCAACGAUGCAUAGCCGACCUGAGAGGGUGAUCGGCCACACUGGAACUGAGACACGGUCCAGACUCCUACGGGAGGCAGCAGUAGGGAAUCUUCCGCAAUGGGCGAAAGCCUGACGGAGCAACGCCGCGUGAGUGAUGAAGGUUUUCGGAUCGUAAAACUCUGUUAUUAGGGAAGAACAUAUGUGUAAGUAACUGUGCACAUCGUGACGGUACCUAAUCAGAAAGCCACGGCUAACUACG
rnacentral:rRNA from 1 species